rnacentral:rRNA from 1 species
GACGACCGCUGGCGGCGUGCCUAAUACAUGCAAGUCGAACGCAGUGGGGACGGGUGAGUAACACGUGGGUAACCUCCCAUCAGAGGGGAUAACACUUGGAAACAGGUGCUAAACCGAUACUGAUGGAUGGACCCGCGUUGCAUUUGCUAGUUGGUGAGGUAACGGCUCACCAAGGCCACGUUGCAUAGCCGACCGGAGCGUGUGAUCGGCCACGCUGUGACUGAGACACGGCCCAGAGUCCUACGGGAGGCAGCAGUAGGGAAUCGGCGGAAAUGGACGAAAGUCUGACCGAGCACUGGCGCUUGAGUGAAGCAUGUUUUCGGAGCGUAAAACUCUGUUGUUAGAGAAGCGGUAUCUAACCAGAAGGCCACGGCUAAUGACGUGCCAGCAGCCGCGGUAAUUC